CACCAGCGCCUCGAGUGGUACCCACGAAUAUUGGGCCUAAAGCGUCCGUAGCUGGACCUCUAAGUCCGCUGUGAAAUGUUGGGGCUCAACCCUAACGCGUGCAGUGGAUACUGUUGGUCUUGGGAACGGGGGAGGGUCGGGGUACUUCCAGGGUAGGGGUAAAAUCCGUUGAGCCUGGAAGGACCACCAGUGGCGAAGGCGCCGAUCCAAAACGUGUCCGACGGUGAGGGACGAAAGCUGGGGGA
rnacentral:rRNA from 1 species